rnacentral:rRNA from 1 species
AGAUAGCAUGCAUGUCUCAGUGCAAGCCGCUUUAAGGCGAUACCGCGAAUGGCUCAAUAUAUCAGUUUUGGUUCCUUAGAUCUUACUCAGUUACUUGGAUAACUGUGGUAAUUCUAGAGCUAAUACAUGCAAUUAGAACUCUGACCAGUGAUGGGACGAGUGCUUUUAUUAGAUCAAAACCAAUCGACGGAGGGCCUUGCGUCCGAUGUCGUUAAUUUUGAUGAAUCUGGAUAACUUUUGCCGAUCGCACGGUCUCGUACCGGCGACGCAUCUUUCAAAUGUCUGCCUUAUCAACUUUCGAUGGUAGUUUCUGCGACUACCAUGGUUGUCACGGGUAACGGGGAAUCAGGGUUCGAUUCCGGAGAGGGAGCCUGAGAAACGGCUACCACAUCCAAGGAAGGCAGCAGGCGCGCAAAUUACCCACUCCCGGCACGGGGAGGUAGUGACGAAAAAUAACGAUACGGGACUCUUACGAGGCCUCGUAAUCGGAAUGAGUACACUUUAAAUAUUUUAACGAGGAACAAUUGGAGGGCAAGUCUGGUGCCAGCAGCCGCGGUAAUUCCAGCUCCAAUAGCGUAUACUAAAAUUGUUGCGGUUAAAAAGCUCGUAGUUGCAUUUGUGCGCCGCGCUGUCGGUGCACCGCAUCCGCGGUGAUACUGACACGUUUGCGGGAGCAUAUCGUCGGUGAGCCGGCGGUAACACGCCGGUUCAAUAUCAAAAUCCUAUCGCGGUGCUCUUCAGUGAGUGUCGAGGUGGGCCGACAAUUUUACUUUGAACAAAUUAGAGUGCUCAAAGCGGGCUCAAAAUGCUGCUUGAAUAUUUCGUGCAUGGAAUAAUAGAAUAUGAUCUCGGUUCUAUUUUGUUGGUUUUCAGAACUCCGAGUUAAUGAUUAAUAGGGAUAACUGGGGGCAUUCGUAUUGCGACGUUAGAGGUGAAAUUCUUGGAUCGUCGCAAGACGAACAUCAGCGAAAGCAUUUGCCAAGGUGUUUUCAUCAAUCAAGAACGAAAGUUAGAGGUU